UACAGAGGGUGCGAGCGUUAAUCGGAAUUACUGGGCGUAAAGCGCACGUAGGUGGCUUUGCAAGUCGAUUGUGAAAUCCCCGGGCUUAACCUGGGAACUGCAGUCGAGACUGCUUUGCUUGAGUAUGGGAGAGGGAGGUGGAAUUUCCGGUGUAGCGGUGAAAUGCGUAGAUAUCGGAAGGAACAUCAGUGGCGAAGGCGACCUCCUGGACCAAUACUGACACUCAAGUGCGAAAGCGUGGGGAGCAAACAGG
rnacentral:rRNA from 3 species